AUACGGAGGAUGCGAGCGUUAUCCGGAUUUAUUGGGUUUAAAGGGUGCGUAGGCUGUGCGUUAAGUCAGGGGUGAAAUGCCGUCGCUCAACGACGGCGCUGCCCUUGAUACUGGCGUGCUGGAGUACGGAUGCCGUUGGAGGAAUGAGUGGUGUAGCGGUGAAAUGCUUAGAUAUCACUCAGAACACCGAUUGCGAAGGCAUCUGACGAAUCCGUCACUGACGCUGAGGCACGAAAGCGUGGGGAUAGAACAGGAUUAGAUACCCUGGUAUUCCACGCCGUAAACGGUGAUGACUAACCGUCGGCGAUAGACAGCCGGUGGCCAAGCGAAAGCGAUAAGUCAUCCACCUGGGGAGUACGUCGGCAACGAUGAAACUCAAAUGAAUUGGCGGGG
rnacentral:rRNA from 1 species